rnacentral:rRNA from 1 species
GUUCCAGACUCCUACGGGAGGCAGCAGUGGGGAAUAUUGCACAAUGGGGGAAACCCUGAUGCAGCAACGCCGCGUGAGUGAAGAAGUCAUUCGUGAUGUAAAGCUCUAUCAGCAGGGAAGAAAAUGACGGUACCUGAGUAAGAAGCCCCGGCUAACUACGUGCCAGCAGCCGCGGUAAUACGUAGGGGGCAAGCGUUAUCCGGAUUUACUGGGUGUAAAGGGAGCGUAGACGGCCAGACAAGUCUGAAGUGAAAAUCCAGCGCUUAACGUUGGAAGUGCUUUGGAAACUGCCGGGCUGGAGUGCAGGAGGGGCAGGCGGAAUUCCUAGUGUAGCGGUGAAAUGCGUAGAUAUUAGGAGGAACACCAGUGGCGAAGGCGACUUGCUGGGCCAUCACUGACGGUCAGGGACGAAAGCGUGGGGAGCGAAUAGGAUUAGAUACCCUAGUA